GGCUGUCUCAGGCAUAGAGGGAUGGCUAUCCUGGGCACAGCGGGGCGGGUUGUCCUGGAGGCGGGCUGCACCAUCCUCAUGGGGCCCUCCAGUGGGGCUUUCCUGUCUCCUGAAUGUACACAGGCCCCAGUGAAGGAGCCCGGUGUGGAGCCCCAUACCACAGCACGUUUCAGUGUCUGCUAUAUUGUGAGCCUAAGCCACCCACCACAGGGCUUGACCCCUGCGACCGUCCUCUCAUUUCUAGAACGGGAAAGCACAGUGCUUCUCCUUGAGGGUUAAAAGGACGCCGCUGGGUGUCAGGGACUUAGCCUAGCGCCUGGGAGGCCCCGCAGGGUGGAGCCCGUCUGCUCAGGGCUGCAGGCCCAGAUUCUCCACUGCUACCGAGAUCGCCCGCAUGAGGUGCUGCUGUGCUCGGACCUGGUCAAGGCAUACCAGCGCUGCGUGAGCGCCGCCCACAAGGGCUGAGGAGCAGACAUCAUUCCCUGCCCUGGCAGUGACUUGGAGCCCUGAAGAAGGGACCAAUCAUGGGACCACAGCCACUGUGCCCUGCCGUUUCCUGCUGGGCCCCUGCAUAUGCCCCUGAGCCUGGGGCUGCCACGUGUUUAGGAAACAAAGUAUGCGCUACUGUCUGAAAACAAAUAAAGCAGAUGCCUUUGUUUUCAGUCGUUGA
rnacentral:sRNA from 1 species